rnacentral:tRNA from 7 species
GGGUCGGUACUCAAGCGGUCAACGAGAGCAGACUGUAAAUCUGCUGGCAUACGCCUUCGCAGGUUCGAAUCCUGCCCGGCCCACCA